GACGAACGCUGGCGGCGUGCCUAAUACAUGCAAGUCGAACGCAGUGGGGACGGUUGAGUAACACGUGGGUAACCUCCCAUCAGAGGGGAUAACACUUGGAAACAGGUGCUAAACCGAUACUGAUGUAUGGACUCGCGGUGCAUUAGCUAGUUGGUGGGGUAACGGCGCACCAAGGCGACGAUGCAUAGCUGACCUGAGAGGGUGAUCGGCCACACUGGGACUGAGACACGGCCCAGACUCCUACGGGAGGCAGCAGUGGGGAAUAUUGGGCAAUGGGCGAAAGUCUGACGGAGCAACGCCGCGUGAGUGAAGAAGGUUUUCGGAUCGUAAAACACUGUUGUUAGAGAAGCGGUAUCUAAACAGAAAGCCACGGCUAACUACGUGCCAGCAGCCGCGGUAAUAC
rnacentral:rRNA from 1 species